CCUACGGGUGGCAGCAGUGGGGAAUAUUGGACAAUGGGGGCAACCCUGAUCCAGCCAUGCCGCGUGUGUGAAGAAGGCCCUCGGGUUGUAAAGCACUUUCAGUGAGGAAGAACGCCUGGUGGUUAAUACCCAUCAGGAAAGACAUCACUCACAGAAGAAGCACCGGCUAACUCCGUGCCAGCAGCCGCGGUAAUACGGAGGGUGCGAGCGUUAAUCGGAAUUACUGGGCGUAAAGCGCGCGUAGGUGGCUUGAUAAGCCGGUUGUGAAAGCCCCGGGCUCAACCUGGGAACGGCAUCCGGAACUGUCAAGCUAGAGUGCAGGAGAGGAAGGUAGAAUUCCCGGUGUAGCGGUGAAAUGCGUAGAGAUCGGGAGGAAUACCAGUGGCGAAGGCGGCCUUCUGGACCGACACUGACACUGAGGUGCGAAAGCGUGGGUAGCAAACAGGAUUAGAUACCCCUGUAGUC
rnacentral:rRNA from 1 species